rnacentral:rRNA from 1 species
GAUGAACGCUAGCGGCAGGCUUAACACAUGCAAGUCGAGGGGUAUAUAGGUGCUUGCACUUAUAGAGACCGGCAAACGGGUGCGGAACACGUACACAACCUACCCUUAUCUUGGGAAUAGCCCACAGAAAUGUGGAUUAAUACCCAAUAGUAUAUUAAAGUGGCAUCACUUAAAUAUUAAAGAACUUCGGAUAAGGAUGG